rnacentral:piRNA from 1 species
UUGCCUGCAGUAAUAGGUGAAGGAAAGU